GGUGCUGUGUCUUAGUUGGUUAAAGCGCCUGUCUAGUAAACAGGAGGUUGUGGGUUUAAAUCCCAGCAGCGCCU